UACGUAGGGUGCAAGCGUUGUCCGGAAUUAUUGGGCGUAAAGAGCUCGUAGGCGGUCUGUCGCGUCUGCUGUGAAAACUCAGGGCUUAACCCUGAGCUUGCAGUGGGUACGGGCAGACUAGAGUGCGGUAGGGGAGACUGGAAUUCCUGGUGUAGCGGUGAAAUGCGCAGAUAUCAGGAGGAACACCGAUGGCGUAGGCAGAUAACUGGCUCAUUCCUGACACUAAGGCACGGAAAGCGUGGGUAGCAAACGGG
rnacentral:rRNA from 1 species